CAGGUUUAUUAAUGCCAGAAGAAGAAUAGUACAGCCUAUGAUUGACCAGUCAAAUCGAGCAGGUUUUCUUCUUGAUCCUUCAGUGAGCCAAGGAGCAGCAUAUAGUCCAGAGGGUCAGCCGAUGGGAAGCUUUGUAUUGGAUGGUCAGCAGCACAUGGGAAUCCGGCCUGCAGGACCUAUGAGUGGAAUGGGCAUGAAUAUGGGCAUGGAUGGGCAAUGGCACUACAUGUAACCUUCAUCUUGUAAACCAAUCGCAAAGCAAGGGGGAAGUUUGCAAGGCAUGCCAGGGGACUACGUAUCUCAGGGUGGUCCUAUGGGUAUGAGUAUGGCACAGCCAAGUUACACUCCUCCCCAGAUGACCCCACACCCUACUCAAUUAAGACAUGGACCCCCAAUCCAUUCAUAUUUGCCAAGUCACCCCCAUCACCCAGCCAUGAUGAUGCACGGAGGACCCCCUAUCCACCCUGGAAUGACCAUGUCAGCACAGAGCCCCACAAUGUUAAAUUCUGUAGACCCCAGUGUUGGUGGACAGGUUAUGGACAUUCAUGCCCAAUAGUAUAAGGGAACUCAAGGGAAAAACAGAAAAAAAAUAAAAAAGAAAACAAAAACAAAAACUAUUUUAAGACUUUUGAACUUUGACCAGAUGUUGACACUUAAUACGAAAUUCCAGACAGCUGUGAUUAUUUUUUACUUUUUGUCAUUUUUCAUCAACAACAGAGGACCAACGAAACAAGAACACAAAUGUGAAAUCAUGGGCUCACUGAAAUGAAUAUGUCCAUGUACAGAUCCUCUGGAAAAAAAAAAGACUCCAAGAGUUAUAACUACUGUAGUAUAAACAUAGGAACUAAGUUAACUUGUACAUUUCUGUUGAUCACUCCGUUACGUUGCCUCAAAUAGUUUUAGAAGAAAAAAAAAUCCUUGUUUUCCACACUAUGUGUGUUGUUCCAAAAAUAAUGACUGUUUUGUUUCAGCAGUGAAGUCACUAUCCAUGAAAGACCUGUUUUGGCCAGUGAGAAAAGAACUACCCUGGAGAUGAAGAUGAAAAGUCUUGCUGGGUCUCUCAUCACUCAGAAGACUGUUCCAAGAAGGCCUUGCCAUUCCCUCGUUUUGUUCCUCCAUAAAAUGUGUCCUUUAGUUUCAAACAGAUCUUUUUAGUUUGUGCUUCAUUAAGUCUCUCCCCAUUCCUCCCCAAUCUAUUUUUUUUUUUUUUUUGGACUCUUCUUCAAAGAGCUUGCAGGUGAAGAUUUAAAAGACAGAACAGACAGAGCAGGAGCUUCUUCCAGUAGUUCUAAGCCUUGGCUUUGGACAAAACAAAACUAAAAGUUGGGCAGCUUUCCUCAAUGAAAGAAGUUACUAACGGUCUUUGCACCAAACCUAGGACUUUAUCAUGAACUCAAAGCUUGGGAAAAAAAAAAAAAGCAAGAGAAUACUGUAACAAACUUCGUACAGAGUUCGGUCUAUUAAUUGUUUCAUGUUAGAUAUUCUAUGUGUUUACCUCAAUUGAAAAAAAAAGAAUGUUUUUGCUAGUAUCAGAUCUGCUGUGGAAUUGGUAUUGUAUGUCCAUGAAUUCUUCCUUUCUCAGCACGUGUUCCUCACUAGAAGAAAAUGCUGUUACCUUUAAGCUUUGUCAAAAUUUACAUUAAAAUACUUGUAUGAGGACUGUGACGUUAUGUUUUAAAAAGAAAAACAAAGGUGUUAAGUCACAAAAUGCGGUAAUAAAUAUUUCAUUUUUGA